rnacentral:rRNA from 1 species
UAAGCGGAGGAAAAGAAACUAACAAGGAUUCCCCUAGUAACUGCGAGUGAAGCGGGAAAAGCUCAAAUUUAAAAUCUGGUGGUCUUUGGCCGUCCGAGUUGUAAUUUAGAGAAGCGUCUUCCGCGCUGGACCGUGCACAAGUCUCCUGGAAUGGAGCGUCAUAGAGGGUGAGAAUCCCGUCUUUGGCACGGACACACCAGGGCUUUUGUGAUGCGCUCUCGAAGAGUCGAGUUGUUUGGGAAUGCAGCUCAAAAUGGGUGGUGAACUCCAUCUAAAGCUAAAUAUUGGCGAGAGACCGAUAGCGAACAAGUACCGUGAGGGAAAGAUGAAAAGCACUUUGGAAAGAGAGUGAAACAGUACGUGAAAUUGUUGAAAGGGAAACGCUUGAAGUCAGUCGCGUCGACCGAGACUCAGCUUUGCCUUGGCUUGGUGUACUUCUCGGCUGACGGGUCAGCAUCAAUUUUGCCCCUUGGAUAAUGGUGAGGGAAAUGUGACACCUUUACGGUGUGUUAUAGUCUCUUGUCGCAUGCAAGGGUCGGGAUUGAGGAACUCAGCACGCGCCCUUGGGCGUCGGGGCUUUUGCCCACGAUACGUGCUUAGGAUGUUGGCAUAAUGACUUUAAACGACC